GACUCGGUAGCUUAGUCGGCGAAGCACUUGUCUAGCAUAUGAGGGUCGCGAGUAAAAAUCUCACCUGAGCUA
rnacentral:tRNA from 1 species